rnacentral:lncRNA from 1 species
CUUAACCUAAUUUUUGCACUCUUGGUGACCAAGUCACUCCUUCUAAGUACCCAACAACUCAUAGAGAGAGGGGGCCGAAAUUUUGAGUGGCCAAAAUCACCAUUUUCAUCAAAAAUUCCAAAAUCUUCAUUUCUUCAUGAAACUUCACCAUUCUUCAACCAAAUGUUCAUAAACACUUCCAAAACUAGAUGCUAUUCCAGGCAAAACUAGAUUUAUACCCCAAUCUAGCUUGGAGUAUAUCUGUAUGAGGAAAAUAUUUAGCUUUGAGACAUUUUGCCAAUAGAGAAGUAGGAUCUGUGUGCAACCUCCAGA